rnacentral:lncRNA from 1 species
UUCAUAUUGAAUUCGAUUCUUCGACAUCUUCAUUGGGUACCUACGAUCCGACACAGAUGCCUUGCAUUUGACUUCUACACACAUACACAACCGGCUUACAUAAGUACAUACACACACAUGCGCUCACUCACUUGCCUACUCUAACAUACCAUUAACAAAUCAACCCUUCGCAUCAACAGGUAUUCUCCUACCGAAAACAUUCGGACAAUUGAAUAAACUGUCUUGACUGGCCAGAUUAAGCUCUUGACUCCGAGUCGCCCUUUGAUUGUAAUCGGAGUAACCUAGAUCUCUUAAGUAUCGUAGUUUUGUCUGAUCUUUCAAGACUAUUUACGCUCACUCAAGAGUGUCAACGGGAAGCCACGUAUAUUGAUGUUCUUUUUGCACGCCGGAAGUACGUCAAACAACGUUCAUGGACGAUACACCCUGCUUACAGUCUUUGUGCGAAGUCAUCCGUCUAUGUCUGUUAGUUCAAACAUAUUUCAGGGACAGCUUUGCACUAAUACUGAAUAGCCAAAUAUUUUUGUACAUUGAAAACAUGCACUAAACGGGCUAACAUCACCGGGAUGGUUAUAUGUUGUCUCAGAGAACGUUGUAUAAUACUGGACAAGAUCAGCGCUACGAUUAGAUACUAUACUUUCGUCUUACCAUGUCUAUGUGAGACUUAAUUAGAUCUCAAGACCACACGAGCUUAACAGGGCGCUUCCUGUAUACAUUGAUAUUAUAAAAAAAACGGUAGCCGUUGAUGGACGCCAAUCUAUUUUUUUAACAGAACUUAAAUACCAUUAGAGGAAUGUUUUAUGGCUCGCGUAUAGUUAUGAGGAGUCUCAGUAUCGCUGUUUAGCAAAUUGAUUCAAGGACCCCCUACCUUGGUAGAGGAUUCAAAAAAGCAUCUGGAGGAAUCGAGCAGAAAAGAAAACAUCACUAUAGUGUUAUUCUCUUAAAGGUAGUCAAUGUCAGUUGACAUUGCCGAAAACAGGAUGGUAACGUAAUGGUCGCAGAUUGUGGACAAGUGCUCUCCAAUUUUGUAUUUUGGCGCGUUAAGAGAGAGGGUAGUUGUUUUUAGAAGUACAUUUAAACAAUUGCUAUUUUUGCUUAUGUAAUAAACAAUGUGUGGCUAUUACGUGAUAUUAGCGUAGCUUUUUUAUAUCACCCGAGUUGCACAGCCAACAGCUGUGUAAAACUCGCAAUGUAACUGUGCAAACUAUCUUUAACUUGUUUAGGUGAGGAAUUACUCAAGGAGCAACAGUCUUUUGGCGCUUGUAGUGAGUAAGAAUAUGGACACGUUGUGGUGUGAGUUCCUAGGCAUUCCAGGCAUGGACAGACUUCGUUGCGUGAUGGGAGCCAACCAAGCGUCUGGGAGAAUGUCUAAUGGCAAUACUGGACGUAAGAGUCGAAACGUAAGGGUUAUUCUUCCGUAUUUGUGUUCUUUGAUGCUGAAUGAUGACAGGGAAGAGUGCAACUAAGCUUAAAGAACUGGAAAAUAUAAGCUUACAUGUUAAGCUUUAAACACUGAACUGACAACGCGUACUACUAUACAUGUUAUUAUGGCUUACGAUGUCUACACUGCGAUUGCUACGCAUGUAAAUAGGUACUCUGUAUGCAUAUUCGACAAAACAAAAGCAAUAGUUGAGUAUUAACUUUGUUAACCACUGUUUCGGAAAGCCAUUAUUGCGCCAUCAUUGUAGAAUAAGAUAGAAUAAUAAUAAAAACAUCCUUAUAAAAUAA